AUGCGGACGGGGGAGAUAGAGCUGCUCCUCAAGUCUGGGGCGCGUCGACGGGAGGUCGCCUUCAACAUGGUCGACUGCGAUUUCAAGGUCUUCGAGGGAAAAUGGUCUGUCCAGGAGCAUGGCAAAUCUCUUUUGCACGGGACCAUGGCAAAUUAA
rnacentral:rRNA from 1 species